AAAAAACAAACAAAAGAGAGGCCAUACAUUAUUUAUUACUUAGUUGCGUAAAGACCACGAUGCUUGAUUUGCUGUCCUCCACUCUUCCUUCUCUUUUCUUGGAAAUUUCAGAAUUUCUAGACCCAAAAAAUUAGGUUAAAAAGAUGUUAUAACUUUGUGUAUUUUUUAUAUUUUAUUUUUUGAAAUUUAUUCUAUUUAUUUUUUAUAUUUCAAAUUUUAAUUUUAAUUGUUAAGAUUGUUAAAUUUAUUGGUGUGUUAUUUUAAAAUAAAAAAAAGAUAUAACUAAAAAGAGACAUAAUAGAAUUCAAAUGAAUAAAAUAAUAUACUUUAAUUUUAAAUUUUGAAAAGUAAAAGAUUAAAACUUACAACAUAAAUAAACGCUUUUACUAAAUUAUAAAGCUUUAAAAUUAGUAGUGGAAUUGAUUAGAUGAUCCGUUCUUAAUUUAAUCAAUUCAAUUGUCAAUUCAAUAAUUAAUUAAUAAUUAAUAAUUUUUUUAUCUCAAUUUUUUGUUUUUUUUUUAUCACUAUCCAUUUGAUCUAUAUCCAAUUUUUUGCCACUAGUCAAACUGAUUUAAUCGACUAAUCUAAUUUGAUUCUAGCAUCACUACUAACUUGCUGCAUAUAAAUAAUUGAAUUGCUGAUUUUUUAUAAUUUGUUUUUUUAUACAUCUUUUGUAUAAAUUAUUGAACCAAUUAUAUAAUGAUAAAAUUAAUUAUAUAAUGCUGUAAUUAGCGAUGUUAAUUAAUAAUAUGUGUCGACCCCUGUGGUCGUCUUUUGCUCAAAAAAGAAAAACAAACUAGAAACAUUAACUUCACGUUUUUCGAAAAUCAAGUUUAUUGACUAAUCAUUAGAGGUGUCCAUGGGCCGGGUCGAAUUGGAUUUAAGUUGGGCCUAAAAAAAUUUCAGGGCCCAGCUCGGCUCAAAUAUGGGCAUGAGAUUUUGUCCAAGUCCAGCCCAGGAAAAAAUAUAGAACCCGAGCCCGGCCCAGCCCGGCCCUUUUUAAAUUAAAAUUAAAACUAAUUAUUAUUAAAAUUAAUUGUUAUCAAAAUUGCAUCAAAUUAUAUUUUUUUUUACUAGUCAACAUUUUAUUAGUAAAAUUAUUAAUUAUUAAUUGUAUUAAUUGUUACUGAAAUUAUCAAAUUAUUAAUUAUUAAUUGUUACUAACAUUUUGUUUGUAAAAUUAUUAAUUGUUAGUAAAUUUAUCAAAUUAUUAAUUGUUAAUUGUAUUAAUUGUUGUAACAAAAUCUAAUAUUUUGUAACUUAAAACUUUUAAUAAAACUAAAACUAAUAUAUUUUAAAAAUAAAAAAUAUAUAUUUAAUAUUUUUCGGGUCGGGCCCGGGCUAAAAAAUUUUGCUCGAAGCCCGGCCCAUUUCUAACCGGGCCUCAUUUUUUGCCCAAGCUCUUAUUUUGGGCCUACAUUUUUACCCGAACCUUCUUAUAUUUCAGGCCGGGCCGGGCCUCCCGACCCAUGGACACCUCUACUAAUCAUCACCUUUCAUAAACCCAUUAAGGCGAUAAAUACUUAUCAGAGUUUUAAAAUUGCUUACCGAAGAUAACCUCUCAAGUGUCCUUGUGUUGGGUAUCGUGAAACUACUAAAAUCAAAAUUACAAUAUGGAGAAUAUCAUGGAACUACUUGCCUAUACGGGUCAAUAUGCAUCACAGCAAGCUAGUUAAUAAUACAAUUUGCCCCCGAUGUGGAGGAGGAACUGAAACAAUCGAUCAUCUAUUCCGCGAAUACCCUGUUUCAGUUGAAGUCUGGACAGCAUUAUCAAUCCCGAAUAUUUUAAUGGAUAGAAAUAUGGAUUUUUUACAGUGGCUUACCUGGGUUUUUGAUUAGUAUCCCACUUUUCACUGUCGACUUUUUUGUUGUGCGCUAUGGGCCAUUUGAGGAGAAAAAAAAUGCUAGAGUGCAUGAAAAGAAAAGGUGCACUGGUUAGGAAAUAACGGCUUCGUUAAUAAUUAUAUUAUUGAACUAAAUGGUAUUGAAAAAAGAAACCUGUAAUUUCAAAGGAGUUUAGAAAAUGGAAUUACCCACCUAGUGAGUUGGUCAAAAUUAAUUUUGACGAUGCAUACAAUGGGCGUCAUUACCAAUCGGCUUCGGGUAUUGUGGCCAGAAACGAUGAAGAGACCGUCCUCUUAUCUUGCUCAGAAAUCCAUCAAGAGGUGGCCUCUGCCUUCGCUGUUAAAGCGCUUGCAUGCCGAAAAGCAGUCCAAAUAGGAAUCGAAAUGCAGCGGCUGGAGAUCAUUAUCGAAGGAAACUCAUUAGCAAUAAUCAAGAAAUGUAAAGCAAAAAGUCAAGAUCGAUCACAGGUAGGAGUGUAUAUACACGAUAUUCAACAGGGAACAACUAGAUCUAGAAAUAUCGUGUUUAAAUAUACACCGAGAUUAACAAAUGCUUUAGCACAUAUGCUAGCAACAGAAUUUUUGAAAAAGAAGGAGGAGGUGUACCUGGUAAAAAGCAUCCCUAGGUAUGCCGAAAACCACAAGGAAAUUGAUUGGGUGCGAGAACCGGACUGAAAAUGGUCGGAGAAGAGAAAAAAAGAAAGGAAAGCCUUAAGUAAGUAGAUGAACAGUUUUGAAAGGAUAGCUUUCCUGAGAACUGAAACCGUCAAAAAGAUAAAAGAUAGGACGGACAUCAAUGAUUUCUAAUUGGGCAAUUUUUCGGUGUUAUUAUUAUUUUUUCUAGAUUACUCUGAAUUUAAGUCUAGGCUAUAUUUUCCUUGGGCCACUUUAAGUCUUUAGGCCAAUUUCAUUGUUUUUCUAUUUUUUCUUUUCUUUUGGACCUUUUGUUAUGUAAU
rnacentral:lncRNA from 1 species